UCACCUUCCUACCUCUACCUGUGACGUUCUCUCUUCGACCUCAACUAGGACGUCUAUCUCCCACGACUCCAAUUCUUCCAUUCUCCUCUUGUCCUAAUUCAAGAAUUAGAACAAGAACAAUUAGGUCAAGAGAAGGAUGGAAGAUUUGGUUUCUUGGGCCAAAUUUCAUUGUUUAUUUAUUUUUUCUUGCAGGCCCAGGUUUGUUCGGAGGACUCCAUCGGUGCUUGCUUCCACUUUCCCGAUGGUAAGGUUAUGUAACGAAUUGUAAUAUAUAUGAUGAGUUGGAUGUGUAUGGGUUGUUCUACUUUUCUAUCCCCAAUUUGUCUUCAUCUUUCGUCUUCAAAUGGGUAGUUCUGCUUCUCUAUCCCCAAUUUUGAAAUCACAUUGGAAUUUGAAGUUUUCAGAGAGUUAACCUCACCGUUACCGAAAUAUGCUUAAAGAAUUUGAGUUAACAGGCCCUCUUCCUUGGCUUGAGUAUGCUUAUGGAAACCAAGACAUUUCAGGGUUCUCUUGAUGCUUGGUUGGCGCAUGUGUAUGAGGGAUAUGUGGUUGUCUAUGUUUCAUUUCUAUCAUACAGGGCUCAUUGCAUUUUUAUUGCUUAGUCACAGUUACAACGCUGCAGUACCCAUGCCUUCUACUGGUUGGCCAGUUCCUCCUUGUCCACAGCCUUCGUUCCCUCAAUAUCCAGCACUUUCAGUUACCCCAGUGGGAUAUGCUCCGCAGCCCUUGUUUCCUGUGCAAACGUGAGGCCUCCUCUUCCUACAUCUUUGUCACCUUCUCUCCAACCAGCACAAGCACCCCCCC